CGCUGUUAAUAACAGUUUGAAAACUGUUAAGUCCGCCGAUGCCAAAAUCAUAUGGGUUUUGUUAUAAAAAGGAAAAUAUAAAUGAAAAUGUAUUUAACAUUGCUAAAUGGCACCGGAUAUGUUUUCGAUGUGAACGAUUAUAUGGAACUGCGCACGAAAUACCGCAUAAUGGGAGCUCUUGUGGGCACGGCCAGCACCAAAGGAUGGAGCUCGAGUGAAGCGGCCCUGCCCUUGGAGCUGACUAAAUACGAGACACAGUUGCUCGUAGAUGAAGGCCUUGCCAUUCUGGUCAGCAAAGCUGAAGCUUUAACAAAGCCUCCAACUCAAGAUAUGUUGCAGGCCUAUCAAAGGGACGUUGAGUCCCGUUUAAUGGCACAGAGAGAUGCCUUAAAGACGGAAAAGCUGCGCGAAACCAGACGCCAUGUGGACAAAAUUAUAAUCGGCAAACGCAACAAGUUGAUAAAGCAAGGAAAACCCGAUGAGGCUGCUGCACUAACGGGCAGAGAUGUGCUCAAUGAAGUUGCCAACAAUUUUGAAUUUGAUCGUCAGAACGCCCUCGUGGAGCUGCCCUGCUCGCACAUGGAAUAUCACUCCUCUCAGCUCUGCACUGCUCCAGUUUACGAUACCAGCUCGCUUAAGUAUCGGGUUUUCCAUGAUCUUUGGAAGCGCGGCAAGUUUGUCACCUGUGGCGAUGCGUUUGGUGCCGACUUCUUGGUCUAUCCCGGCGAUCCGUUGCUCUACCACGCCUCCCACAUUGUCAUCAUACAACCAACGCCUGUCAUACGUCCCCUGCAACUGAUUGCCAAGGUGCGACUGUCGGUUAUUGUCAACAAGAGCUGCGUGUUUGCCUAUGAGGAAUCUACAGGCAACACGAUUGGUUACCAGACAGUUGCCUGGUGCAAUCCGAGCAAGUAGUUGCCAACGACAACAACAGAGUAUUGGACGCGCCAUGGAUAGAACUCUCCCUGGCAUUAUUACUCUCCCCGCCGGCAGCGAAUCCAAAACAACACGUUGCUCGAUUCUGCUCUUAAGCGGGACUUGAUCUGCAUAAAAAUAGGGUCGAGCUGUCUCUGGGAUGCAUGUCAAAAAUAACAGGGGGCAACGAUAAGACGCAGCGCGCCAUUCAGUCUUCGUGAAAGCUCGUGGACGUGGAGCAGUGGAGCAGCAUCAUCAUUUGAAGCUGCCAUUUAGAUGAAAUUUCUUGUUAGACCGUUGCAAGAAUAACAGCCUCGUCGUGUUAGCCACAAACAGCAA